AGGGCAGUAGCUCAACUUGGUAGAGCAGCGGUCUCCAAAACCGCAGGUUGCGGGUUCGAAUCCCUCCUGCCCUG
rnacentral:tRNA from 1 species